AUUUAAAUAGUUUAAUAAAAAUAUUGGUUUGUGGGACCAAAGAUAUAGUAUAAUAAUUAUUUUAAAUA
rnacentral:tRNA from 1 species